CUCUCAACACACACACACACGCACAAAGGUUUUCUCCGAAGUCUUUCCCCUCCCUCCAUCUGGCGAUCCGUCACCCCUCCUCCAGCCGCUGAUGGUCCUGCUGUAGGCAGUCUGCUCGUUCUCUUCAGUGUGAGGACAGCACACACUCCUUCACAACCAGCCUCUGUCUCUCACAUACACUCCUGUCUCAAACUAUUCUGACAAUAUGUUUAAAACUGGAUAUACCCCAAGCAGCACACCCUCCUGGAGCAUUUGAACUAUUUGAGCACUCGAUUCAGAAGAAGGAAGAUCAAUCAGCAGUAAGGUAUGAGUUGUGCUUGAAUAAGCCAACAAGGAGGGGUUUCUUCCUCUUGACACUGAAAACUACUGAAGUUUGGGGCAUCCACGAUGAGUCUUAAGAAGAGGAAACCAAGCAUGGUGUUCAGCUGGCAAAAGUCUUUCACCAUCCUUGCCCCGUGGAGAAAAGGUAAAAGGGAUAUUGUUUUAGACAAUGAAGUUGUACUGACAAAAAUGAAGCUCCUCAACAACUUCCCUGAGAAACUCCUUAAUGUUGAGGAUUCCAUUUCAACCAUCUCCGUUUCAAUGUCUGAGCAGGAUAACACAGAACCUCUACAGGCUGAUGAAGUGAUCUCCGUCCACAGCGCUGCUCCUGAGACAACUUUCUCUGAAUCAAAAAAAGACUACCUAUCUUCUAUUUUUGCUGAUUCUGAGCUUCCAAGAUUGUACAAAUUUGAAUCUGAGGACUCUGGGGUAGAGAUGACUAGUGGAGCAACUUCUCCAUCCACCCCAACUGGUUCAGAGCAAAGCUUUGUGGUCCACAGUAGGGAGUCUUCAUGUGACUCUGGCAACCUGAACUCUCUUGUACCUGCUGACAAUCCUCUUGAAGACAGUUCAGUCUUCUUGGAAACUGAACAAACAUCUUGUAAGUGUGCUAAACAAGACACUCUUACCAUCCUGGGAGACAGAACAGAUGAAGAGAAUGUUGAUGAUGAUUUAAUAGACAUCACAGCAGAUUCAGAGAGGUCAGGUGACAGAACUCUGAGGAACACCAUGGAGAACUGUAAGGAUGCCAUUGAAAUCAUGGCAGCACAGGAGGAAAUAACAGACACUGCAAUGGCUGAGGACACAAUCUCAAGGAACCACUAUUCUAUAGAAGCUUACGAUGGCAAAACAGGACCUGAAUUUCAGCAACAGCCUUUGAGGAAAAGUACAACCAGCGACAGUCUGGAUGAAUACAUGGAAGAGUGCUGCAGGCUCAGUGAGGUGAACCAAGCCAAUCAGUCCAACCCACUGGGCUCUGGACUGGGGUACCUAGAGCACAUCUGCCAACUCAUAGAGAAGAUCGGACAGCUACAGAAACACAACCUUCGACUACAGAAACAGAUCUGUGGCCUGCAGAAGGAAGGCCGAGUGAUCAAGACUAAAGAGGACUUUUUUAUGCACCACUGUAGCUGUGGAGCAGCCAACUUGGCCUUCCAAGAGCUCAAGAGACACUUUCGCAGUGACCACUACAGCCUGACGGCAUCAAGCAGCACACUGUCUGACCUCAGCACAAUCCCUGAGGUCACACGUAUCCCGCUCAGGGCAGCCAUGAGAGAUGGUGACAUGGGCUGCCAACCUGCUCUUCCUGUUUGGAGGAGGGGUCUGAAUCGGAGGAGCUACACAGAGGGAGAGGCAAAGUACCUGAGUGACAGCGCUGAGGUCCUCUCUGCUCCGCACAGACGGUUGAGUGAGAACUAUACAUGGGGAAGAGUGAAGGAACUGGUGAAGAAGACCAAACUGAGGAACCAGAGCCAGCUGGGACUGUCUUCAGGCUCCCUGAAGAGAUCAUGUCCACAGCUUUACCGCCCAGAUUUGAUGUCAGCAGAACGGCCGAGGACAAACAGAAACUCCAUGAUCGCUCUGGGCCAUCAGAAACGGGACUAUCUGUGGCCACAGUAGUAUUAAACAGACACUGAGUAGAUGGACUGCGAUGGGGCAACUUUUCCAAAAAGCAAAGGACAAAGUGGUGGUUUUUGCAAUUUGCAGAUGGUUUUUCCAGACUGAGGAACAAGAUGGGAGAGAAAUUCACAAGAAAACAAUGAACGGGAUUUGAAUAACGAUAGAAAAAUGUUGGUGUCAUGUGUAUAUAAUACUAAGAGAGAUGAUUAUAUGUUGAUGAAAGUGUUAAGUUGACCUGUUGAUGGAGCUUGUUUGUGUGUCAUGACAUUCCUAUAAAUGUCAUUAAUUCAGAUAAAGCACUCAUUAGAUUUGUCAGCUAAUGAGGUACUAUUAAAGACGAUAUAUACGUGGAAAAAUUAUUUACAGAAUGUGAUCAGACAAAGGGAAUUACAGUAAAUCCUUAUGUAUAGUCUAAUGUAAAUUUCUACCAGGACAAUUUACCAGACACUGUCCUGUUUGUAAAACACUUGAAAUACAUCCAAAUGAUAACAAAUGUUGAACAAGCAUGCUAUAACUUUAUAUAGAUCAUUUUGUAACACUAUUAUAAGAACUGCCAUGUGUAAGUGUGUAUAUACAGACAGAACAAAUAUGCAUGUGCAUAUGAGAGUGGAUAAGAGGCGCUCCCACGUCUGAAUUCCUGUAUCUACAGACAUAUAUAUCACUGUGAUGAUGGGGCUUAUGAUAACAUGUAAAUGACUUAUGGCAGUUCUGUAUGCAGCUCACCUGUCUGAUGUUAUAUAAAGUGUGUGACCUUUCUUUUCCCUAAAAGUUAAGCAAUGCCUUCCUUAAAAUAUCAUCCUUAAAUAUGAAUUAAAAAGGGCUUCCUACGUGCCUGCCAAAUAUCAGCCCAAAGACAUAAACGCUGUUAUGAAUAAAAGGCAGUAUAAAGUGGUCAUAACACUUUACUAAACUUAUAAAUGCACCUCAGGGAGAACGCGCAAAUAAAAAAAAGAAGUUAUGAAUUGACCCUUUUGAAUUAAUAAGGUGUUUAAUUCAGGCUAUUACUAAUAAACACUACACUCUAAAACUACACUGUUUGACCGCUGGGUCAAAACAACCCAAUAGCUGGGUUUGUCCCUUUUUAACCCAGCACUGGGUUAUAUUUAACCCAGCAUUUUUAGCGUGUACUGUUAAUCCACAGUGAAAACAGUCAGAUCUCCUUGACAACAUUAAGUUAAGCUCAGAAAGUGAGCA
ensembl:lncRNA uncharacterized LOC107589555